UGUGUUGCGUAGUAUUUAUUUUCAUAAUUGUUCUUUAUUAUUCAUAUAUUAGUGUGUGUUAUUAAUACAUGUUUCUUAUCAUAAUUAGAAAUUCCUUUGGUGACUAAAUUAUUCUUUUUCUUUCAUUUAUCUAUAUUUUAGUAUAACAGAAUGUUAAUUUUUGGAUUAACUUCGAGCGGGAAAAGUUCCAAUAUGGACGCCAUCAUGUCACGUAAUGACGCAGUAAAAUUUGAUAUUUUAUGCUUCACCAUGUCCACAACUACUAUGACAAUGGUCUUCUUGAUUACUUCCUAGUAAACGUUCUUCGCUUCAAACGCGUUGACUCCAACGACCUUGGGCGGACAUCUGCGCACAGGUUGCUCGAGAGUGUUUACGAUUCCAACGUCGAGAAUCCACAAGAUAUCUUGCACGUCCAAAACAAUGUCAACAGCGCUUUGUAACGCCUGGCAAUUGC